AAAAAGUUCAGAAACCAACAAUCAGCUCCAGCAGGAGAAAGAGGAAAAGAAGAACGCUGAGAAUGAGGUGAAGACCCUGAAGAAUGAGCUGGAAGAGCUCCAAGAUGAGAAGCUGAAGUGGACGGAGACUGAGAGAAAACUGAAGAAAUUCAUCCUGAACAUGAUGCAGGAGCUGGAUGAAGGAGACUCUCAGCGUUGGCAGCAGAGACAUGAAAAUAUAAAUGUUGGGAAUCA